rnacentral:rRNA from 1 species
GACGAACGCUGGCGGCGUGCCUAAUACAUGCAAGUAGAACGCUGAAGCGAGGAGCUUGCUCUUCUUGGAUGAGUUGCGAACGGGUGAGUAACGCGUAGGUAACCUGCCUUGUAGCGGGGGAUAACUAUUGGAAACGAUAGCUAAUACCGCAUAACAAUGGCUGACACAUGUCAUUUAUUUGAAAGGGGCAAUUGCUCCACUACAAGAUGGACCUGCGUUGUAUUAGCUAGUAGGUGAGGUAAUGGCUCACCUAGGCGACGAUACAUAGCCGACCUGAGAGGGUGAUCGGCCAAACUGGGAAUGAGACACGGCCCAGACUCCUACGGGAGGCAGCAGUAGGGAAUCUUCGGCAAUGGGGGCAACCCUGACCGAGCAACGCCGCGUGAGUGAAGAAGGGUUUCGGAUCGUAAAGCUCUGUUGUAAGUCAAGAACGGGUGUGAGAGUGGAAAGUUCACACUGUGACGGUAGCUUAACAGAAAGGGACGGCUAACUACGUG